CUGGCUGGGUUUCUCUGCAGCCCUGGUGUGUCUCUGUGCAGUGGUUAUCGCUUCUGGAGAGAGGAGGUGACAGAAGCUACUUGAAAUGAAACAUCAAGGUUCCCAUGGAUGGCAUCUCUGGGUCAGCCGGUGCUGCUGGGCCCUAGAUGGGAUGUCAGAUACCAGUCAUUGCCAUGUGCUGUGAGGAGGCUGAGAGGCUGAGGGUAUUUCCUGGGCCAUUUCUCUCCCAAGGCCGCCUUUGGAGCAGCCCCUGUCAGACAGGACGUAUGGUCUCCAACACGCAGUGCUUUUAAGGCCAGAGAAAGCAGGUCUGGUAUUUCUUGUCCGGGUCCCAUGCACAAUGUUUUCUUUGGCUCUGCCGUUCAUCCUUCUAAAGUGGAUCACGGCUGAAGAAUGACAGAGGUCCAGUGACAAACUUUCAACAUUAUUUAAAAAUGGGGGCAGAAAGCAGGGAGGUCAAACCCUAACGCGGGUGAUGAGGGAAGAAGCGAGGGGGGACUGCGUGUGUUUCUUCUCACAUGUGCUCAGGGGCUGAAAAUCAGGAAGAAAAAUCGCACCCAUGUUCCUUGGCUCCCUCAGGAGCGUCUAAUGGGGAAAAUUAAUGAUCUGGAACGUCACGCCGGAGACGGGAGAGGGGGACCUGACAGCGCCGGCGGCUCCAGGAUGAUGGGUUGUGGUCACCUUCAAGGGAGGGGAGGGCAUCAGGGGGCGUGCAUGUGCCAUCUGUGCCCAGCUCUGUGCUCACUGCCAGCGGGAUUUCUGCCCGAGCUGCUCCGGCUGUGAUGAGCAGGAAAGGCCCUGGGAGAAGGGGCGGCUGCUGAAGGCACAUAGCAAACCUGCUGCUGCGUGGGAAACGGGCUGGAGCGCACGGUCUGGGCAUGCAAGGAAUGGCUUGGCUGGGCUCAGCAGCCUCCAUGAGCUUGUGAUUCGGCUGCUUUUCCCAGAGCCUGCCCAGGGCUCUGGGGUUUGUCACCACGUCCCCUUGCUGGCAGCAGCCUCGUGUCCUGGCUGCAGAGUUCUCGCUGCCCCCAGCCCUGUGAUCCUCAGCACCGCCGCGUGCUUGGGACAAUGCCGUGGCAAAAGCCUGGUGAGAGGCAGAGCGCUUUGUGCACAUCGCUUUUGCAUGGGAUUCAAGUAUUCGGUUGCUUUGUGUUUUGUGCCAGAAGAAGCAGGGAGCUGGGCAAAUCCACACUGUCAAGUCCAGCCCUGCUGCUCCCUCUUCAUUUCCCUCUGUGAAGUGCUCCGGUGUGGACUUUGCAUCCUUGGGGGUUGGAUAGGAUCCUCUCACCCAAGAUUAAAGUAGCGAUGGGUUGAUGGAAGCACAGCCAGGAAGGUGAACCACCAGCACCCAGCUGUGCCUCCAAUGCUUGCAACUGGGGGUUACAAUUGUUUUCCCAGUGCUUUCUCUGAU